GCCUUGAGUCACCGUACCGGGAAGGAGGAGAAAUCUGCCUACAAGCGACUCUGCCUCGACCCAAACCUCAUGAAGCCCAAGAGGAGAAGAAGACUCCCAACACGGACACUUCCAAACGCCAUCGCGGACAGAGCAAACAGUAUGAUGGCAAUACUCACGAGGGAAUGUACUUUUCAUAAUGCUAAUACCAGGAUCCUAAGAGAAACGGCAGGUAUUGAAAAUGGAAGCCACAGCAAAUCGCAUUUUGUGUCCAAUUUAACCACAUACGUGGCAUAGCGUCAAAAUUCAAAUGUGAAUUGUGAACCAGCCCCACAAAGCAACGAUACAGAAAUCCCAAAAUAAUAUACGAAUCGGGAAAAAACAAAUGCUACAGCUCUGGAAAUGUGCACCGUACCUCAAAA